UAGGGAAUCUUCGGCAAUGGGGGCAACCCUGACCGAGCAACGCCGCGUGAGUGAAGAAGGUUUUCGGAUCGUAAAGCUCUGUUGUAAGAGAAGAACGUGUGUGAGAGUGGAAAGUUCACACAGUGACGGUAACUUACCAAAAGGGACGGCUAACUACGUGUCAG
rnacentral:rRNA from 1 species